rnacentral:rRNA from 1 species
AAAGAAACCAACAGGGAUUGCCCUAGUAACGGCGAGUGAAGCGGCAACAGCUCAAAUUUGAAAUCUGGCUCUUUUAGAGUCCGAGUUGUAAUUUGCAGAGGGCGCUUUGGCUUUGGCAGCGGUCCAAGUUCCUUGGAACAGGACGUCACAGAGGGUGAGAAUCCCGUACGUGGUCGCUGGCUAUUGCCGUGUAAAGCCCCUUCGACGAGUCGAGUUGUUUGGGAAUGCAGCUCUAAAUGGGAGGUACAUUUCUUCUAAAGCUAAAUAUUGGCCAGAGACCGAUAGCGCACAAGUAGAGUGAUCGAAAGAUGAAAAGCACUUUGGAAAGAGAGUCAAACAGCACGUGAAAUUGUUGAAAGGGAAGCGCUUGCAGCCAGACUUGCUUACAGUUGCUCAUCCGGGUUUUUACCCGGUGCACUCUUCUGUAGGCAGGCCAGCAUCAGUUUGGGCGGUAGGAUAAAGGUCUCUGUCACGUACCUCCUUUCGG